rnacentral:rRNA from 1 species
GGCAGCACGGGAGUAGCAAUACAACUGGUGGCGACCGGCGCACGGGUGAGUAACGCGUAUGCAACCCAUCUAUCAGAGGGGAAUAACCCGGCGAAAGUCGGACUAAUACCUCAUAAAACAGGGACACCGCAUGGUGAUAUUUGUUAAAGAAAUUCGCUGAUAGAUGGGCAUGCGUUCCAUUAGGUAGUUGGUGAGGUAACGGCUCACCAAGCCGACGAUGGAUAGGGGAACUGAGGGGUUGGUCCCCCACACUGGUACUGAGACACGGACCAGACUCCUACGGGAGGCAGCAGUGAGGAAUAUUGGUCAAUGGGCGAGAGCCUGAACCAGCCAAGUCGCGUGAAGGAAGAAGGAUCUAUGGUUCGUAAACUUCUUUUGCAGGGGAAUAAAGUGCAGGACGUGUCCUGUUUUGUAUGUACCCUGAGAAUAAGGAUCGGCUAACUCCGUGCCAGCAGCCGCGGUAAUACGGAGGAUCCGAGCGUUAUCCGGAUUUAUUGGGUUUAAAGGGUGCGUAGGUGGUUUGAUAAGUCAGCGGUGAAAGUUUGCAGCUUAACUGUAAAAAUGCCGUUGAAACUGUCGGACUUGAGUGUAAAUGAGGUAGGCGGAAUGCGUGGUGUAGCGGUGAAAUGCUUAGAUAUCACGAAGAACUCCGAUUG